rfam:Valsa mali strain 03-8 chromosome 12, whole genome shotgun sequence.
GCCCGGCUAGCUCAAUCGGUAGAGCGUGAGACUCUUAUGAGCCUCCGGUUCUGAUUAUCUCAAGGUUGUGGGUUCGACCCCCACGUCGGGCU